rnacentral:rRNA from 1 species
GACGAACCGUGCGAACGUUAUUCGGAAUCACUGGGCUUAAAGCGCGUGUAGGCGGAUCGGAGCGUCAGCUGUUGAAAGCCCCCGGCUCAACCGGGGAAUCGGCACUGAAACGGCCGGUCUGGAGGGGGGUAGGGGGAGCCGGAACUUCCGGUGGAGCGGUGAAAUGCGUUGAGAUCGGAAGGAACGCCCGUGGCGAAAGCGGGCUCCUGGACCUCACCUGACGCUGAGACGCGAAAGCCAGGGUAGCGAACGGGAUUAGAUACCCUGGUAGU